rnacentral:rRNA from 1 species
CCAGCAGCCGCGGUAAUUCCAGCUCCAAUAGCGUAUAUUAAAGUUGUUGCAGUUAAAAAGCUCGUAGUUGGAUUUCUGGGAGGUUGCCGAUGUCAGCUUGUUAGCUUGUGCAGACGCGACCUCCCAUCCUUCUGUUAACGAUUCUUGGUAUUCAGUUACUGGUUUCGGGCUCAGAUAUUUUACCUUGAGAAAAUUAGAGUGUUUCAGGCAGGCUUGCGCCGGAAUACAUUAGCAUGGAAUAAUAGAAUAGGACUUUAGUCUCCUUUGUUGGUUUGAGGGACUGAAGUAAUGAUUAAUAGGGAUAGUUGGGGGCAUUAGUAUUUAAUUGUCAGAGGUGAAAUUCUCGGAUUUGUUAAAGACUAACUUAUGCGAAAGCAUUUGCCAAGGAUGUUUUCAUUAAUCAAGAA